GUUGCUACUGUUUACGUAUCUGGUUGUAGUAUGUUCUGAACUGUUUUAAAUUGAUUCCCUGUGUUUGGACUUGAUGAUUAUAAUCUGUUUGAAUGGGCUGAAUGUUGGACCUGAAUAUGCUAAAGUGUGUUUUGAGUUGCUGGAAAUUCUAUUGUAUUGAUGAUCUGAUGAGGGGACAUGGGCUGUGUAUAGUUUUAGGAUCUGUGAGGGGAAGUAAGGUACUGAAUUUGGGGUGGUAGAUGUCUAGAACAUCGUAGAGCAAUUUCAGUAAGUUAAUUGAACCUGUUUAGGAGCCUUCUUUGUUGGUAGGAUAGAGAGAACCUAAAAAUCAGAGUCGCACAUCCCUGAUCAUAGAGCAGCUAAUUCUAAAUUAUUCAAAAACAAAGUUCCACAUUUCUCUAAGGAUUGUGGAGAAGGAAGUACAAGAAGCGAGCUAAUAAUCCAUUUUCAUAACCACUACUUUGACAAUUCUACUUUAUU
rnacentral:lncRNA from 1 species